rnacentral:rRNA from 1 species
CCUACGUGGAGCAGCAGUGAGGAAUAUUGGUCAAUGGGCGCGAGCCUGAACCAGCCAAGUAGCGUGAAGGAUGACUGCCCUACGGGUUGUAAACUUCUUUUAUAAAGGAAUAAAGUGAGGCACGUGUGCCUUUUUGUAUGUACUUUAUGAAUAAGGAUCGGCUAACUCCGUGCCAGCAGCAGCGGUAAUACGGAGGAUCCGAGCGUUAUCCGGAUUUAUUGGGUUUAAAGGGAGCGUAGAUGGGUUGUUAAGUCAGUUGUGAAAGUUUGCGGCUCAACCGUAAAAUUGCAAUUGAUACUGGCAGUCUUGAGUACAGUUGAGGUAGGCGGAAUUCGUGGUGUAGCGGUGAAAUGCUUAGAUAUCACGAAGAACUCCGAUUGCGAAGGCAGCUUACUAAACUGCCACUGACAUUGAUGCUCGAAAGUGUGGGUAUCAAACAGGAUUAGAUACCCCUGUAGUC